AAAACAAAACAGAAGUGUAGAUGAUCUCUUCUCAGGACUCAUUUGCAUCUGUAAAUGAAUGUGAGAGUGUGCUGGAGAGCUGGUCCAGCCUUCCAAUAACAACAUGUCCUGGCUCUAUGAAAAAACUGAUCUGUGAAGCUGCAGAUUGAGGACUGAUUGCUUUGAGAAUACUGAACUUAACAAAUCAGGAGUGGAAAUUUUUUGGAAGCUGAGGCAUGGACUUGGAGUGGUUGAGAUAUUUAAGAUUCAUAUUUUUCAAUCUGUUGAUGAACAAGAUAUUGGAAUUCUGACUUGGUGAGGCAAGUGGGCAUCGUAUACACCUAAUCCUAUGUGGAAGGUCAGAUUAUGAAUUAUUUUAUUUGAAAAUAAGCUUAAAGUGGAUGCAUUGCUAAGUCCAAUAUGAUGUGGGUGUACUGAAAAGCAAACACUAUGGAAAUGAGAAAAAGCAAAAGGAAUUGCUCAAGAUUUGAAGGGCAGCAGACUAGACAUGAGUCUGGAUGUUCAUUGGUCUUUGUGUUCUAUUCUAUUCUUUC